rnacentral:tRNA from 1 species
UGUAGCUCAAUGGUAGAGUGCUUGUCUGGCAUGCAUAAGGCUCUGGGUUGAAUUCCUAGCA